rnacentral:rRNA from 1 species
CCUACGGGCGGCAGCAGUGAGGAAUAUUGGUCAAUGGGCGAGAGCCUGAACCAGCCAAGUCGCGUGAAGGAUGACGGCCCUACGGGUUGUAAACUUCUUUUGUCAGGGAGCAAUUGAGUCCACGUGUGGUCUUAGCGAGAGUACCUGAAGAAAAAGCAUCGGCUAACUCCGUGCCAGCAGCCGCGGUAAUACGGAGGAUGCGAGCGUUAUCCGGAUUUAUUGGGUUUAAAGGGUGCGUAGACGGGAAGUUAAGUUGGUUGAGAAAUCCCUCGGCUUAACUGAGGAACUGCAACCAAAACUAACUUUCUUGAGUGCUGGAGAGGAAAGUGGAAUUCCUAGUGUAGCGGUGAAAUGCGUAGAUAUUAGGAGGAACACCAGUGGCGAAGGCGACUUUCUGGACAGUAACUGACGUUGAGGCACGAAAGUGUGGGGAGCAAACAGGAUUAGAUACCCCGGUAGUC